rnacentral:rRNA from 1 species
GAUGAACGCUGGCGGCGUGCCUAAUACAUGCAAGUCGAGCGAACAGAUGAGGAGCUUGCUCCUCUGACGUUAGCGGCGGACGGGUGAGUAACACGUGGAUAACCUACCUAUAAGACUGGGAUAACUUCGGGAAACCGGAGCUAAUACCGGAUAAUAUAUUGAACCGCAUGGUUCAAUAGUGAAAGACGGUUUUGCUGUCACUUAUAGAUGGAUCCGCGCCGCAUUAGCUAGUUGGUAAGGUAACGGCUUACCAAGGCAACGAUGCGUAGCCGACCUGAGAGGGUGAUCGGCCACACUGGAACUGAGACACGGUCCAGACUCCUACGGGCGGCAGCAGUAGGGAAUCUUCCGCACUGGGCGAAAGCCUGACGGAGCAACGCCGCGUGAGUGAUGAAGGUCUUCGGAUCGUAAAACUCUGUUAUUAGGGAAGAACAAAUGUGUAAGUAACUAUGCACGUCUUGACGGUACCUAAUCAGAAAGCCACGGCUAACUACGUG